UACGGGGGGGGUAAGCGUUGUUCGGAAUUACUGGGCGUAAAGGGUUCGUAGGUGGCCAACUAAGUCAGACGUGAAAUCCCUCAGCUCAACUGGGGAACUGCGUCUGAUACUGGUCGGCUUGAGUGCAGGAGAGGAACGCGGAAUUCCAGGUGUAGCGGUGAAAUGCGUAGAUAUCGCUUGGAACGCCGAAGGUGAAAACAGACUGCUGGGGUUGCGCCGACGCUGAGACACGAAAGCCAGGGGAGCAAACGGG
rnacentral:rRNA from 1 species